rnacentral:rRNA from 1 species
CUACGGGAUGCUGAAGUGAGGAAUUUUGCGCAAUGGGGGAAAAAAGGAAGUAGCAACGCCGCGUGAGCGAGGCCUUCCCUCUUUUCUUCCCUCUCCGUCAAGGGGGACAAAAAUGUUUUGAUCAAUAGUCAAAAGACUUGAUGGUACCACUGGAGGAAGCACCGGCUAACUCCGUGCCAGCAGCCGCGGUAAUACGGAGGGUGCAAGCGUUGUUCGGAUUUACUGGGCGUAAAGAGCGUGUAGGCGGUUUAGCAAGUCAGAUGUGAAAGCCCUGGGCUCAACCCGGGAAGUGCAUUUGAAACUGCUUCACUAGAGUAUGGGAGAGGAGAUUGGAAUUCCUGGUGUAGAGGUGAAAUUCGUAGAUAUCAGGAGGAACACCCGUGGCGAAGGCGAUUCUCUGGACCAAUACUGACGCUGAGACGCGAAAGCGUGGGGAGCAAACAGGAUUAGAUACCCUAGUAGUC